rnacentral:rRNA from 1 species
UACAGAGAGAUGCGAGGCAGCGAUGCCGAGCGGAACUUCAAAGCCUGUCUCAGUUCGGAUCGGAGUCUGCAACCCGACUCCGUGAAGCUGGAUUCGCUAGUAAUCGCGCAUCAGCCACGGCGCGGUGAAUACGUUCCCGGGCCUUGUACACACCGCCCGUCAAGCCAUGGGAGCCGGGGGUGCCUGAAGUGCGUGACCGCAAGGAGCGCCCUAGGGUAAAACCGGUGACUGGGGCUAAGUCGUAACAAGGUAUC